UGUGAACUGAGAGGAUAUGCAUAGCUACAGCAGUACCCUAGGUGUCGGCAAUAUUUCACUGGAGCUCUUGAUGCAACUUCUCUGAAUCACAUCAUGUGGUAGCCUUGGUGUAGCUGGGAAGGUAAGAGUGGACUCUGCUAACAUUAACAGCAAUUUUAUCUCCUGGGUGAAGAUGGGAGAUCAUAGCUACGUUUUUCCCCCUUCUCAAGCAAGAAGAAAAUGAAGGAUUUUGACUUGCCACCAACUCACCGGAUUGGCUCAGGCUUCAAGUGGUGAUUCAGACAACCAAUGAGUACUCUCUCUUGAAAAGCUGGCUUCCCCGGUGCCCUCUGGAUGUCAAGGUGAGCAGAGUUGCAGAGCGCAUGGACGCCACUGUCUGUCCGGCUGGAGAUGUGGAACUUGAUGGGAACAACAGGUUUUAGGUUCUGUGCUGCCUUCUGCAAUCGAACAUGAGACAGAACAGGAAACUCAGAGCUCCCCAGGAAACAAUGUCCUCCUCCCUGCUAAAUACAUCAUGCCUCCUUACUGUUCCCACAGAAGUAAUAGGGAGUUUUACUGUGAGCUGCAGAGAUGGAUGGAGGUGGGCCUGCUGACUUCUGCUAGUACUACUUGGUUUCUCACCUUGUGUCCCAGAAUCAUUUUAAAGAGAACAUACAAUAUGCCACGUCAGCUUCCUUACACAUAAAACAAGAAUAUUUACCUCCCUGGCCUUUGCUUUAUAUGAUUGGGCGGAAGAAAAGAGAACAGAGAAUCACUAAUUUAAAUCCAGAUGCAACCCCUGCAUCUGACUGCUAAGGACUGCAUUCAAUCUGCAUCAGCAGCAGGUAACAGCAGCACAGUGCAUGCUCACAGAGAGCUCCAGAACUCAGACAGAAACAGCACACAGGGAUGGCAGAGUGACAUUACAGCUAAGAGGCCUGACGGAGCUCAGGCUGCAGCCUUUUGUUCCAUUGCAGGCCAAAAUGGUGUAAAAUACAGCAGCUUAUUGCUGCUGGCAGAAUUUCUUUCCCGUCCACAACAGGAGCAGGGCUACAGAGGGCAACGUGCUUCCAUCAGUUGUUCAGAGCAGAGGAGGAGCUGGGGGACCAAAUGAGAAGUAGCACAGCACUGAUGUAAUGCGUUUAUUGGUCCCACUGAGAAACAGUAACAGAUCAGAGAACCAAGGCAUAGCUCUAAUAAAACACAGCAGUGGAGGAGCUGAUGCUGAGC
rnacentral:lncRNA from 1 species